AGGACGAACGCUGGCGGCGUGCUUAACACAUGCAAGUCGAGCGGAAAGGCCCUUCGGGGUACUCGAGCGGCGAACGGGUGAGUAACACGUGAGCAACCUGCCCUUAGCUUCGGGAUAGCUCCGGGAAACCGGAAUUAAUACCGAAUAUGAUUUUUGCUGACAUCAGCAGAAGUGGAAAGUUUUUCGGCUAGGGAUGGACUCGCGGCCUAUCAGCUAGUUGGUGAGGUAACGGCCCACCAAGGCGACG
rnacentral:rRNA from 1 species